rnacentral:rRNA from 1 species
AUUGAACGCUGGCGGCAGGCUUAACACAUGCAAGUCGAGCGGAGCGGCGGACGGGUGAGUAAUGCUUAGGAAUCUGCCUAUUAGUGGGGGACAACAUCCCGCACGGGACCCCAAUACCGCAUCCCACUAGAUGACCCUAAGCCGGCUUAGCUAGUUGGUGGGGUAAAGGCCUACCAAGGCGACGAUCUGUAGCGGGGCUGAGAGGAUGAUCCGCCACACUGGGGCUGGGACACGGGCCAGACUCCGACGGGAGGCAGCAGUGGGGAAUAUUGGACAAUGGGGGGAAGCCUGGUCCAGCCAUGCCGCGUGUGUGAAGAAGGCCUUAUGGUUGUAAAGCACUUUAAGCGAGGAGGCGUUACUCGCAGAAUAAGCACCGGCUAACUCUGUGCCAGCAGCCGCGGUAAUAC